UUUAUGUCAUGAAUAUGUCAUAUUUUAAAAAUCAAUCAAAAUUAAAUUUUUUAUGUUUUCAUCAAAAGAAAAAAAGAGUACAGAUCACAAUUAUUUUAAAACGACCACAUUAUUGAAAAUAACUUAAUGUAACAUUUUAAAAUAAAGAUCAAAUUGUGUGCAUAAUUCGGCUAGAUCACCCCUUCGUGGUGCACCCAGGGGAAUGUAGCUUGUUUCAACUGGUACGGACAUAUUACAAUGAACUGAAAGCACUCUGAACAUUAUCCAGGUAUCAUAAUUUUAGGACGCACUCGGAAGAUCCCCCGUAGGACGAUCUCCGAAUACAACUACAAUGAUUGUGGGAAAACGGUAUAGUAAUGAAUAUUUCCCUACGGUAAUAACCGUGACCACGGUAAUGUGGCGUGUAUAAUAUACCAUCAGGUACGAGGCGAGUGCGUGCCAUGCAACUAUCAAAUGAAAAUAGAUGGCUUCUAAUGGAUCACAUAUUGCAGGACGAUUGGUUUGUAUGUCGCGAUAUAAAAAUAUAUACUUUUCCCGAAUGAACUCGAUAAAUGCAAACGUAGUUCGUCUGGAGGGAAUACAAUUAUAUAAUAUUAUAUUAUGUAUAUUAUCAUAAAAGGAUCGAUGAUAACGAUUAAUACUAUAUAUAUUAUUAAAAAAAACGAAAUUCGGGUGGUGGACGCGCGGGUCGCCAACAAAAAACAAAAACUGAAAAAAAAAACGUUUAAUCGCAAACGCACCAGUUAUCGAAAGAGACAGCUGCUAGAGAAAAACGCGUUGAUCGAAUUUUUUUCUAUGCGUUUUUCCCGUUCGGUUCCAAAAGUCGUUCGGUAUAAUACUAUUAAAAGGAAAGUUAUUAUAAUUAUUCAGUCGUUCAGUUUUUCAAACAAGAAAUUCCGUCUUAAACCAUCUGUAAGUGAAUUAGCUUCUAUAUUUGUAUUUUAUGUAUUAAGUAAUUAUGAUGGUUUUUAGACGAUAAAAACUAUGUACCUACGUUAUUAUUCACGAACGCUUGGCCACGUUUUAUAUUAUGAUACUAUGUUACCAUUAACUUGAGCGAAAAAUAAAUAUAAAAUUUAGGAUAGAGGAAACGAAAAAAUGUGUACUUUAAUCUUCUUAAUAUGUUGAAUUAUAUAUGGUUUAGAAACUUGAGAGCAAACAAUUAAUAUUUUAUUUUUUCAUUUAUAUUAUUAUAUUUAUAUCCCAUAAACAUUGUCUGUACAGCUUACCGAUGAAAGGUUUAUCCGAGCCAACUACUUCGUUUCUAGUAGAUACAUCACACACACAAAAAAAAAUAAAAUAAAAUACGGGCGCAUUGGAUUUUCGCAGAGUAUUUGAUAUUUUCUCAUUGAGCGCUUCGAACCCUUUGAAUACGUUCCAUCAUCGUUAGAUAAUCGAUUUUCAUUCGCAGAUAACUUAAAAGCAUUUAUUUGAUGGAAAUUACUGUGCGUCGUCAUAAAGGAACGCAGCCGCCGCGUGUAUGGAAUAACGUUUUUACGUAUUCUGUCGAUGAUAAUAUCGCCGUCUCUCUUUCCUGAGGGAACCAAAGGGUUCUCUUAGCUAUGCAAACAUAUAAAUAAUAAUAAUACAAAAAAAAAACAUGAGGUUGUGUAGUGUGUACA
rnacentral:lncRNA from 1 species